AUGUUGAAUUUAUGUUUUUUCAUGCACUCUUAUUUCAACAUAAAGUGUACGAGUCCACGACAUCGUCAUGACGAAACUUUCAUGCACCCCGGGCCACUCUUGUUGUUCAUCCAUUGUGUGUGUGUGUGUGUGUGUGUUGUGUCAGAUUGCCCGAUGAGGUUGUCUGGAUGUGUGUGUGCGAUGUGUUCAUGCUAUAAAAUUAGUGUCCUUAUCGACUUCACCUCUCCUUCCCCCUCCCCUCCCCUCCCCCGCGUCGCUCCACGGGAGCGGCUCGGGCGGAAACCCCAGCCGCCACCCAACGCCGCCCCCUCCAACCCCUCCCUCCCCUGCCGCCGCCGGCACACGUCGCUGGGCAAAGCCCCGGUGGCGGCUGGCGGCGGCGGGUCUUGUUCCUCGCACGGUUGUCGGCUCUCGCGUGCGAGAUCUGCGGAGUUUUGGGCGCUCCGGUGGUGGUGCAUGCGUGGCGGCCCCUGA
rnacentral:rRNA from 1 species